UGGGGAAUAUUGGACAAUGGGGGAAACCCUGAUCCAGCGACGCCGCGUGUGUGAAGAAGGCCUGCGGGUUGUAAAGCACUUUCGGUGGGAACGAAAUAUGCCGGGCUAAUACCCCGGUAGGCUGACGUUACUCAAUGAAGAAGCACCGGCUAACUCUGUGCCAGCAGCCGCGGUAAUACAGAGGGUGCGAGCGUUAAUCGGAAUUACUGGGCGUAAAGCGCACGUAGGUGGCGACGUAAGUCGGGUGUGAAAGCCCCGGGCUCAACCUGGGACGUGCAUCCGAAACUGCAGCGCUCGAGUAUGGAAGAGGGUCGCGGAAUUCUCGGUGUAGAGGUGAAAUUCGUAGAUAUCGGGAGGAACACCAGUGGCGAAGGCGGCGACCUGGGCCAAUACUGACGCUGAGGUGCGAAAGCGUGGGGAGCAAACAGGAUUAGAUACCCCGGUAGUCCCUGAGCGGGCUGGCAAGGCGCAU
rnacentral:rRNA from 1 species